GAAAGCAGUGGGUGGGUGUGCACUGCCCUCAGCCUGGUCAGGGUGAACAUGUGUGUGAGCAAGUGAGGCACUGACCGUCUGCUUGUGUAUUUUGCCAGUAAUAAGUUAUGACCAUAUUUCAAAAUGCCUUUCAGAAGAGCUGGGAGGAACUUGUUUCUCAGCUCGAGGGAGCAGUUUGGUUUGGUAGCAGAAAGCCUGUCAUGCAGUCAGCCAGAAAGUUGGAAUUUCCAAAGGGAAGUAUAGAGAAGGAGCUGUACACAUUGGAGUCUGUCACAGCACUGCUUAUUUGUCUGCAUCUCAGUGGUGAGGGUUAACGGGGAUGAGGAUGUGUCAGCCCUAUGCCAGGUACCAGAUUUCAGCCUACAGCAGCACCAGCUUUGGCAGCUUUACCACAAAUUUUGUUACAGUUGUUCUUGAAAGCUCUGGUUCCUCAAAGCCUGUAAUUAUGUGCAAGUUUCAGCGUUCUUUAAAACUGAAGGUAAAUUGUCAACUGUUUGAUUGUAUAGAAUAGCCUGAAAACAACCAAGAAGUUCUGAAAGGAAAAGAGGCAAGUUGAGGAAACCUGAAAUUACUUCCCUUUGAAUUCUCAAGACUUGUAAGGCAAACUCGUGAUUUUGUGGCCCAGAACAGGCCUGUUAAAUGUUUGGUAUUGGCAAUGCUGUGUUUAUUUUCCAUGCUUGGAUUUCUGCACGGCUUUAUACACUUCAUGAAAAAUACAGUAUUUUGUUUUAUUUUUAAAAGGAAGCAGAUAGCUUUGCUGGAUGAUCUCCAAACCAGACUGUAACAUACAAUAACGAUUCUAUAGUGCACUGUAGCAGACUACAAAAGGAUAAGAUGUUACUUUACCAGCACAAAAAUCAGGCACGUUACAGGGGAAGAAAAUUAUGUGAUGUAUUGCUUGUAUUUAUGACCAAAAGAAAAGGAAAAAAAAUACAUACUGUGUGUAUAUACUGCGUAGAGAAAUUACAGAACAAAAUUUAAUUAGAUCUUUAUAAAUGAAAGCCACAUAUGCGGAUUUAUGAUAUAUUCAUUUCUCAGCCUUCAGAAGGAUGGCUGCCUUUGCUUUGAAAACCAAUCAUUUGCAGACAUCAGGUCUGUAAUUCAGGAACUGACACAACCAGAGGUUUGUGGACUUGAGUGUGGCAAAUGCCAGUCCCAACAUUUCUCUGUUGCAGAGGCAAAUGUUGGAAUUCCCAGUGGAGGAGGUGAGGAAGCUCACUGCAAAAUGUGUCUAUAGCAACCUUUUUUCCCAAGGUGUGUAAUUAUUAAGUUGCUUGUUGUGUUAAUUAAGAAGCAACAGUAGUACAACGUGUAGUUACAUUUGAUUUGUACAGGGUAUGUCUGAACGUUCCCCUCCCUAAAGGGAAUGUUUCGUGUUCUAUUUGCAAAAUGUACCAUGAGUUGGGACUAAGAGCAACUGGAACACAGGCCUUUCUCAUGUGCAGCGGGGAUCUCAUGACUACAUCAGGACUGAGGCAAAUAUGUAUGUUAAAGACUAGGGUGGUGAUGCCUUUACUCACACUAAUGAAGUGUCAGUCUUCCUGAAUCACACUGGUACACCACAGACUUCCACUUCUUUGCGCCACUACUUAGAGGAAGCUACAGACCUGGUUUUCUCUGCUUCCCUAAGCAGCUUUGGAUGCUGGUGACUGAAUGACUCCUGAGAAUAGCAAUUCAAGCAUGGUUUCUUGAUGUGGUUUGAGCUGUGUUAUAGUUUUCUGCUGCUGGAAGAGGGAGAUUGUGUUCUUCUAUCUGCCCCAGCUUCUAACUGUGUGGGUUCUGAUGCAAAGCCUUCAGCUUCUGCAAGGACACUGAGCACAGCACAGCACGUGCUUUCCCAAUACCACUUCUUCCUUUGUGCACGGUCUCAGAUUUGCUUCCAGGUGCCGCAGAGUUCUGUGGGAAAUAAUGAUAGAGGUACCAGCCAUCAGCCAACCAGGAAUGUUACCUGGAAAGCCUUGUGCAAAGCCCUGGAGGAAGGUGGUGGGAAAGGGUGAGGCUGGGCACCAGACUUUCCUUUUAACAUCUCUAAACUGAAACAAGUUCAAAAGAACGUCUGUUCCAUUUAUAGAAGUAGGGGCUCAUCUAGAGAGAAAACAAGAGCUGCUAGAGUUUUUAGCCACAUCUAAAUGAAGAUAAAAUUAGAUUUCAGACAUUAAAGUAGGACCCAUAAAGAACUAAGUGCAGCAGGAGUCUGGCUGCAGGGUGCAGUCUGCUGCUGACCAGAGAAGACAGCAACAGCUGAUUCUGACUUCAGAGGAAGAAAUUCAUGGUUGUAACUGGUUUAGCAUCUGCCAUAGGGAAUUAUAAAGGACCCCAAUGGAUCAGUAGUUUAGUUCUGCAUCUUGUCCUGAAGACAGGUCUAUUUCACCUCUUGCGAGGAGUGAUUUGUGUUUCUUACUAUGGAGCUUUUGUGUCAUGUGGCCUAGAACUCCUAAGCAGAGAAAGGUUGGAUGAGGCAGCUCUCCUGGAGCAGGGCUGGCACUACAUGAUGGCUCCGUCUCUGUGAUAUUACAAACAGACAUCAAGGUGCUUUUCACUAACACAUUCUGUCAAUGCUGGAGAGCUGUCGUGUGGGGAGCAAACACUGAGUGAAGCAAAGGAAGUAUUUACAAUUUGCUGCCAUGAAAGGAGACAAGAUAAAUCAAUUGGGACUAAAUUAGCACAGCCAGAGCGGUCCUCACACCUACUUUGGAAACUCUGUUGAAAUCCAUGGCCUAGAAUUUGCAGGAGGGAUUAUAUGCAUUUUAGAGUGAGCUAAUGUAAGUGACACCCACUUCUCAAACUGCCUGAAAACGCUGCCAGAAUGAGCUGCCAAAGAGCAGGGUUGUAGUCAGUAUUUGCUGGCUGUUGUUGGCCUUAGAUAAAUGCAUUGGGAGGGGAAUAGUGGAGGAGUCAAUCAAAAGAUAACACUGAGUAGAGCUCAGUUGCAUAACAUGACAAGGAGUCAGUUCUAACUAAAGCAGAGCAUAUGUCUGUGUACGUGGGCAUCGUUAGAGGCAUGAUGGCCCAAUGGGAGUCCAGAAAGAGAUAUCUGAGAGCAGCAGACAGGAACAAGAUCUGACGAAUGCCUCAUGUGAUCGGGUUGGUUGUGUUAUUGUGCUGCUCUCGGCUGACCUUUUUCAUUCAACUGAAAUGAUAUUCCUGGGCUUUUGCUGAACUCUGCAGAUUGAUGACAGCAUCCCACAGAUACACCGUGGCCCAAAACAACUUGCUGAAAGUCAGGUUGAGGUGGUGAGACUCGCAGAAAUCUGCUUAUUGGUGAGAUAACAAACACUAAAAUAAAAUGAAGUGAAAUACUGGAGAGCCUGCUUUAUACCCCUUUUAAAACUCAACACAAAAGCCAAGUGAGAUCAUCGGGUUUAUUAGGCAAGAUAUUUCCAGUAAAGAUGGGGAAGCACUACUGCCACCAUACAAGGAACUGCUCAACUCCGUCUGGAAAGUCGCAGCCAGUUCCCAUCAUCUGUCUUUGGGAAGGAGAAAUCCGAAGCAGAACUCAGAAGAUGACAGGAACAGUGAGUAGCACAGAAGUGACCAUGUGGGAUGUUCAAUGUGGUGGAGCUGAAGAGAGUGCACUGGUUUCUGUAGAUAUAGCAGAAGGAAGAACGUAACGUAAGUGACAAUAAAUCUUUGGAUGAUAGUGACUAUAAACUGGCAGAGAAUGCACUUACAGUGGAAAUGAGGGUUCUGGGCCUUGGAGCAACCAGGUUCUGCAAGACCUUGCAUCAGGAGAGCAGGGCCGGGUCCUGUUGCAUAACCCACACACAAAAGGGUUGGCAUGUGAUGCUGUGAAAACAGUCUGGCUGCAGUGAUCAUCUCCAGUCCUGUGUGCUCCUAGAAUACCAAUAAUUUCUUCCACUAGCCCUGGUAUUCCACAGGCAGCUGUCUGGCUGUGAUCUUCCAGAGAGCCAAAGUAAGAAUUAUUAUUUAGAUUUUAGCUUAACUACAAUAUAUCAUUUAGAAAAAGUCCUGCUGUGCUAAGCUGCAUUCAGUAGCAUGGCAACAUCCAGUGUAUAUAUUUGACUGCACUCUGCUUUGUCUUUUGUUAGCUCCGAUGUCAGCAGGUAGUGAGCAGAGUGACCCUGGGACCUGCCAGCGUGGGGCACAGUGUUGGAAGCUGUCUCAGUUUCACAUCUUCAGCAAACCUGGUGCUGCUGCGUUCCUCACCAGUGCCCAGCACGCUGCUGUCAAUGCAUCACACUCAGAAUGCACAGAUGCUGCUUUGCUCCUGACUUUCUACAGUUUCCCUGUAGCAAACUUCAUCUGCUUGAGCUCCUGUGCUCUGUGCUGUGGCUCCCUGCAGCCCCACACCUCCUUCCUUUUCCAAAAUGCAUUCUGAAGCUUCAGCUGUAGUGAUCUGGGUGUACAUAACUGGGAGUGCUCACAUCACAGGCACUACAGGGGGAAACUGUGGCCCUAUGCCCUCCAGUGGAGUUCUCCAGGACACUGUGCCAGAGACUAUGGUUUACUCAGUGUGCUAUGGAACGGGAUCUAGGAGCUGCAAUAGCGUUUGCUUAAUGGCCAGCAGUGACAGGGUUAUAAAUCAACAAGGCACCUAUUACCUCCAAUGGAAAUGGUAAUCUGGUUUUUCUCCUAGCGGCUUCUGUUGCAAUAAUCAUGUGCUUGCAGCCUCCUCCAGGGUAUACAGUGCAAUGCACCUCCCUUGCAGCAGUCACAUCCCUUUCUUUGGGAGCCUUCCCAGCUCAGUGGAGCACUGAGCACCCCCUCGACUGCUGGGAACUGCAGGUGCUCAGCGCCUGAGCUCAGCCCUUUGGCAGGUUAUGUGCAAGUUUGUUCUGCUUAUCACCAUCAGCUUCAGGGCAGCCUGGAAAUGGAGUUGCAGGGAGGGAAGGGAUCCAUAGGGCUGCUUUCUUCCUGCCUUUUUCUCCACUCAGAGGUAUGGAGGGCUGUUGAGCACAGUGGAGCCCCACAUUCAGAGCACCCUGUGCAGGAGGCAGCAAGUGGCUGGACAGCAGCGCCCUGGUGUCAGGUGUCUGUUUUAGCCUCUUCCCAGCAAGGUCUCCAUCUAAAUCAACAGGAGCUCUCUGGACUCCGAACCAUGGCAGAUGUGUAUUUUUAGAAGCCAAUCAAUCAGUGCUGACUGUUCAAGUUCAGACAAGUCAAACACAGCCCGUAAAGUUACACAGAAGCACAGUGUGUUGUAGAAGGGUUGGUGAGCCUGCUUAUUAUUUGGCACGCUGCGCCAAAUCCGAGAGCUACCAAGGCUGGGUUCUUUUCAGAGAGAUAUCCAUAAGGAGCGCAAGUAUAAACAGACAGUGGAUUGUAAGACACACUCUUUUUAAUUGAAGCAAUAAAUGACUGUUCGUGCUUCCAUAGACGCCCUCUUUCAAGGUGCUGUGUGUUUCCCAAGCUUCAACGCAGUCCCAGGUUCAGGGUUUGUCAUCUGGGCCGUCCUGUAGGUGAGGAAACUGAGGCACAGAAGGAUGUGGAUGCUGCCAAGGAGCUACAGAGACUGAAGUCCCACUGGUCUCCAGGGAAGUGCUGUGCUGGGCAAAGAAAGCAAACACCAUGCAGGUAUGCUGAUUUCCAGAGCCUUAGUUUAUCCAACUUGAAAAUGGAACUGAUGCUUUCCCAUGUCACUGACCACUCAGUCAAGAAACGUGGCUUUGGCCUCUUCUGCUUCUUCGUGCCCUUCUCUCCAUUGCUACAGGACAUCUGCUCCAGAGCUUCUUGUUGGAGUCUUUGCACAGCUGUACAAAAUGUAGUGCAUGAUCUGAUUCUCAAACUGGGCUUAACUCAUACGUACAGUGCCAGCUGGAGGGGCCUGCUGAGUUUUUGCUGAUGCAUCAGAAAUGUAUUUUUAGGAAGGUUUCUCUAUAAUUAUCACAUUAUAGCUGCUUCUGGAUCACUCAGAGUAUAGUAAACAAUUGCUAUACUUGUUAGAGGUCAUGAAUACAGAAAAACAUUCCUCUGUGUGAGGUCUGCUGUUAAAUAAUAACUUGUCAUUUCAUGGCAUGGGGGGAGUGAAUGCCCUUGAAGGGACGUGCUGACAUUGUUCAAGCCAGUGAUCCAGUUCCUGUAAUUUACACCGCUUUCUUAAAGCUGCUUCUCUGCACAAGAACAAUGGAUGCGCUGAGGGACAGCUGUUGCCCCGCUGCAGCUCCCGUUGCCUUGUGUGUUGAUCCUCUCUCCGGUUUCCUUGCUAUGCUGCUUCAGCAACACGUGGAUGAGUCACUGCUAAAGGCCUUGGAGGUGAUGGGUGAGGAAGGUGGUUUCUGGACAGCUGUGCAGAGUGCAGCCCUAGGCAGAGAUGGGGCAGGUGAGUGGCAUUAGAAUGUGAUCACACAAGGAGAUGAUUAAUGAGUAAUUUCAUGAUCACUGAGUUGAAUGAACAGCACUCACCUUUGUGGCAUCUCUGCUGUCUGGUGUAGAGGGAGCAUCCACUGCUGUCUUUUCCUUGGGGGAUGCUGAUGGUGUCCCUGUCCUCCAUCUGUCAUCUGUAGCUCCUGUCUGGGACCUUUAGGGUGCUGAGAAAUCCCUGUCUCUGUCUCCUUGAAAUAGUCUGGCACAAUCAAAAUCUACUCACACACAUUGGGCUCGCACAGUGCUCCAUUUAAAGCUUUAUUCCCUUGGGAAAUCCAGGCUUUACGCUAGUUACCUUGCUUUUCAACUGGGCAUAACAUGCAGUUGUGAUUUUCGUAGUACAGUAGAAAAGUGAGGAUCUGGCUAUGGCUGAAAUCAGUUAACAAAACAGAUAAGUUAGGGAUCCCAGAGCCCCUGGUGUCCUAUCUCAAGGCCAAAGAAGUAACUGAGAGGUCUGAUGGAGCUGAAGAAUUGGGGUAGAACAGUGAGCUCUGGCCAGACAGGUGACGGAUGUGUCCGUUAUGACAUCUCACAGUCCCUCCCUGUGGCAUGGGAAUCUGCCCUUUAAUAUGUUGUCAAAAGAAAAUUAGAUCUUGGCAAAAACAUAGCAAGUUUAAGAGCUCAGUCUGGAAGGAGCUCAGCAGGGAGGCGUAGGAGCUGACUGCAGCAUUUCAAAGUCUUUCUAGAAGCUGUGGUUUGGAGAGGAAAAGGGGAUGAAAUCUUCCGUGUUGCAGCAUGCGAGAGCUUUCCAGCUAUACCUUUCCAAACGCCAUUGUGACAUGGCUCCACCAUAUUCAUACUCAUGACUGAGGGAAUGGCGGACUCCAUACUCAGCCCCUUGCUUUUCUUGGUUUGUGUUGCAUGUUCCAUGUUGUUUUAAUGUAGUUCUUAGUAUUUAAUGCAUUUUUAUUGCUUUCUCUAAUAACAUCGACUGAGUGCUGGGAGCCAAUCUAAACAAGCUGUGCCAAUAAGCCAAACAUUUCACUUCAACCAGCAAAGCGGAUGCCUCUUACCCCUUCUCAUGCCUGGCUGUGCAAACCAAGGACCUCACUGCUUAUCAGGGAGAGCAAAGCAAAAGCCUGGUGUGGUGUGGGCAAGGCAGAGCUGUCCUGUGUCCUUGUGUCCCUGCCACAUGUGUCCCAUCGAGGUGAGCUGGCAUUGGGCUGCAGGUCAAGCAACAUGCAAAGCUGGCUCCUGUCGAGGGGUUAAUGCGACAUCUUGUCUCACACGCUUUGACAAGUUGGGUCUUGGUUUGUGGGACUGUACACACCUCUAAAUCCCUUUGACAUCAGUGGAAGCUGGAGUUCACAUUCUGCAUCGCUGAAAGCCUUUCCAAGCAAUUAAAAAACAACCCCGGUCCUCCUCCCCUGGUGCUGAUCUGUGGUGUGGUGUUGACGUAAGUGUACUGGAGUUUUACUUACAGCAGCUGGGUGGUUGGCACUUUUAUGGGACUUUUUAAAGAAAUUUUCUGUCUUUUGCACAAUAUUCCUGAUUUUUUUUUAAUUUUUUUUUUUUUUUUACUCUCUUUUUGCUUUUCUCCUACAAGCCCAGCCUUCAUGUCUGUCAUCUCAGCGCUGCUUCCUGUUGUUCUCUGUGAUCUCCCCCGUUCCAUGUUCUCUUCUCUGGUUUCCUCCCUUUCAUUUUAGCCUCAUUUUCCUCAGGCUGCCUGAGCCCAUCCUCCCAGAGGGGAAGUGUAUCUGUCUCAUUCCUGUCUCUGUUUCCCUCCCAGCCCCACAGCUGUUCCCACUCCGGCAGACCCCACUUCUGCUCAAAGCACCAUCUAUGUCCAAGCCCUUCCCUCCAUCACUGCAGAUUGUUCCUGCAAGGUGCCAAGUGUUGUCUCACCAGCGUUUGCCUGGACUGCUCUCAUCUGGCUGGAUGGUGGAACCCCCAUCCCCAGCACUGACACCUUUUGUGGUGUUUCAUGCCAUGCAAUCCAUCACCGCUCCUGAGAAAUUUUUGCCUUUCGUGCUGCCCAGGCCUGAAAGCCAUAAACUCAGCAGAGAGGAUGUGGUGAGGUGUGAACAUCUACUUCAUUUCCAAGUGGUUCUUUUCCCCUCAUGUGCUGCACUUUACUAGUGAAGCAGUGGGCACCAUUCUCUGUGCUUUGGCCCAUGUAAUUAUGUGUUUUCUAGCUAUGCUCGGUCAAGAGUAAUCAUGGAGUUUCAACCUCAGCUGGGACAGAAACCAUCAGCUUAACAAGUUGACUCGUGUGCAGUUACAGAAGAUGCAUUCUGCCACUGAUUUGUUCUGCCACCCUUUUGCUCUCCUAAGGGGAAUGCACCAUGGGGACGGAUGGAGCUGGUGAGCGGUUGGUGGAGGCACAGUCUGCCUGUCCUGCUGGGGUGAGAUACAGAGUCACAGACUGAUUGGAGGACAGCCUACCUCUGGCCAUCUAUGCAUUUGUAAAUCCCUUCUGGACUAACCUGAUAUUCAGGGGAACCCAGGUCUUGACCACACACACUGUCAAUACAGGACCUUGGACUUGAACUCUGUGCCUCAGACUUCAGCUUUGUGAGCCUUUAGACAGCCCUUCUGCAGCUGCAUCAGGCCACACACAGUCACAGCUCUCAGCGUUGUGACAGGCACAAAGCUGGCACUGGCUGUGAUUACUUCUCUGCAAAGUCAAACAGGGCCAAAAAUAAAUGCUAGUGAAGGAAUAAACAGACGUGAAAAGAAGGCUUGGACACUUGGAGGACAAGACUGCUUUGUGUUUCCCAAAGCAAUGAGCCUCUUCACAAGGAGGUUACUCUUUCAGAACAACACGAGUCCUGUGACACUGCCAAGCUCUUCCUACAGGGUUUGAACACACACCAGUUUGGCAGCGGAAGACAUCUUCCAUCUGUCUUAGAUGGCAACAUGGCCCCAGCACUGUGGCUGCAUCACUCGCAUGUUGGCUUGGGAAGAGGGCAGUGCUGCUGUAUUGUGCAGCUGAGGAAGCAGGUUGCCUGGCUGUAUCUUAGAACUUGUUGGGACUUUCCACUCAUCCAGAAUCCAGUGACCAGACUCUCCAUUGGAAUGAACAAGAAAUGCUAACAUUGUUAGCAGGUUUGCUGGUGUGCUUUAGUACCCUGAGACCUAAAACCUGGCUGGUUGAUAACACUAGGAAUGCUGUGUCUUAUUCAGG